CCUACGGGUGACAGCAGUGGGGAAUAUUGGGCAAUGGGCGCAAGCCUGACCCAGUAACGCCGCGUGAAGGAAGAAGGCUUUCGGGUUGUAAACCUCUUUUCUCAGGGACGAAGAAAGCGACGGUACCUGAGGAAUAAGCCACGGCUAACUACGUGCCAGCAGCCGCGGUACUACGUAGGGUGCAAGCGUUAUCCGGAUUUACUGGGUGUAAAGGGCGAGUAGGCGGGAAAGCAAGUCAGAUGUGAAAACCAUGGGCUCAACCGGUGGCCUGCAUUUGAAACUGUUUUUCUUGAGUACUGGAGGGGCAGGCGGAAUUCCUAGUGUAGCGGUGAAAUGCGUAGAUAUUAGGAGGAACACCAGUGGCGAAGGCGGUCUGCUGGACAGCAACUGACGCUGAGGCGCGAAAGCGUGGGGAGCAAACAGGAUUAGAUACCCGAGUAGUC
rnacentral:rRNA from 1 species